AGCGAACGCUGGCGGCAGGCUUAACACAUGCAAGUCGAGCGGGCAUCCUUGUGGUGUCCGCGGCAGACGGGUGAGUAACGCGUGGGAACGUGCCCUUCGGUUCGGAAUAACUCAGGGAAACUUGAGCUAAUACCGGAUACGUGCGAGAGCAGAAAGGUUUAUCUGCCGAAGGAUCGGCCCGCGUCUGAUUAGCUAGUUGGUGAGGUUAUGGCUCACCAAGGCGACGAUCGGUAGCUGGUCUGAGAGGAUGAUCAGCCACACUGGGACUGAGACACGGCCCAGACUCCUACGGGAGGCAGCAGUGGGGAAUAUUGGACAAUGGGGGCAACCCUGAUCCAGCCAUGCCGCGUGAGUGAUGACGGCCUUAGGGUUGUAAAGCUCUUUUCUCCGGGACGAUAAUGACGGUACCGGAGGAAUAAGCCCCGGCUAACUUCGUG
rnacentral:rRNA from 1 species